AUUGAACGCUGGCGGCAUGCCUUACACAUGCAAGUCGAACGGCAGCACGGGGGCAACCCUGGUGGCGAGUGGCGAACGGGUGAGUAACACAUCGGAACGUGCCCAGUAGUGGGGGAUAGCUCGGCGAAAGCCGGAUUAAUACGCAUACGACCUACGGGUGAAAGACGGGGGAGUCGCAAGACCUCGCGCUAUCGGAGCGGCCGAUGUCAGAUUAGGUUGUUGGUGGGGAAAGGCCUACCAAGCCGACGAUCUGUAGCUGGUCUGAGAGGACGACCAGCCACACUGGGACUGAGACACGGCCCA
rnacentral:rRNA from 1 species